rnacentral:rRNA from 1 species
GGGGGGGGGCAAGCGUUGUUCGGAAUUACUGGGCGUAAAGGGCUCGUAGGCGGCCAACUAAGUCGGACGUGAAAUCCCUCGGCUCAACCGAGGAACUGCGUCUGAUACUGGAUGGCUUGAGUCCGGGAGAGGGAUGCGGAAUUCCAGGUGUAGCGGUGAAAUGCGUAGAUAUCUGGAGGAACACCGGUGGCGAAGGCGGCAUCCUGGACCGGCACUGACGCUGAGGAGCGAAAGCCAGGGGAGCAAACGGGGAUUAGAUACCCCGGUAGUCCUGGCCCUAAACGAUGAAUGCUUGGUGUGGCGGGUAUCGAUCCCCUGCCGUGCCGAAGCUAACGCGAUAAGCAUUCCGCCUGGGGAUACGGUCGCAAGGCUG